rnacentral:rRNA from 1 species
GGGGAUAACUACUGGAAACGGUAGCUAAUACCGCAUAACGUCGCAAGACCAAAGAGGGGGACCUUCGGGCCUCUUGCCAUCGGAUGUGCCCAGAUGGGAUUAGCUUGUUGGUGGGGUAACGGCUCACCAAGGCGACGAUCCCUAGCUGGUCUGAGAGGAUGACCAGCCACACUGGAACUGAGACACAGUCCAGACUCCUACGGGAGGCAGCAGUGGGGAAUAUUGCACAAUGGGCGCAAGCCUGAUGCAGCCAUGCCGCGUGCAUGAAGAAGGCCUUCGGGUUGUAAAGUACUUUCAGCGGGGAGGAAGGGAGUAAAGUUAAUACCUUUGCUCAUUGACGUUACCCGCAGAAGAAGCACCGGCUAACUCCGUGCCAGCAGCCGCGGUAAUACGGAGGGUGCAAGCGUUAAUCGGAAUUACUGGGCGUAAAGCGCACGCAGGCGGUUUGUUAAGUCAGAUGUGAAAUCCCCGGGCUCAACCUGGGAACUGCAUCUGAUACUGGCAAGCUUGAGUCUCGUAGAGGGGGGUAGAAUUCCAGGUGUAGCGGUGAAAUGCGUAGAGAUCUGGAGGAAUACCGGUGGCGAAGGCAGCCCCCUGGACGAAGACUGACGCUCAGGUGCGAAGGCGUGGGGAGCAAACAGGAUUAGAUACCCU